UGCUAGCAAAGAGUGUCUGAGGGAAACGCUAAGGAAACACAGACCCUAGAGGAAGCAGAAAAAAGCAAAGUUGACAGAAUGUCUUCGUAUCGAUCUACCUUUUCUUGUAUCUGCUUUUUCUUUUCUCUACAGGCCCCUCCCCAUCUCCAAUUUGAAUAUAAACUCCAGAAGAACCAUGUUUUGGUCAUCAGUCUACCCCAAAGCCUAGAAAGGUGCCUGCCACAUAGGAAAACGAAAUCCUCCCAUGAGUAAGUCUGGGGCAUCCUGCUUUUAAAAACCUUUUAUGGGACCAUAAAAUACCUCACCUCACCACCUUUAAGAAGUUGGCUUCAGGAAUGAGAGCAAACUGAAUUGCACGGAGCUGAAAACAAGCCCACAGACUCAUGACCUGAGCCAGGAGCAGACUCCAGAGCAAAGUGUUGUAGACAAGCUGGUACUUUACAUGCCUAAGAACACGGUCAUUUACAACCCGGAGGUACUUUAUUGCUAAUGAUCUUUGAAGUUAACAAGGUUUGCAGAAGCUUUUCAGCAUUAUUAUUACUAUUUACAUCAAUGGCAUUAGUGAUGUCCUUUAUUCUUCCAAGACUUAACACUGCUAAUUGGCAUCAGCAUAAACAGAGGUAUAAAUGCUAUCAUGCAACACAGGCGGAGCCAGCUCUGCAGCUUUGUGGGUUUAAUAUGGAAAUGUUUGCUAUCUAAUGAGGACACAAAACGUUAAUCUGCAGAACAAAUUGUAUUUAUAGAGAAACGAAUUAUCAUAUGCAAAUGUGACACACAUCACUUGCGAAAUUCCU